rnacentral:rRNA from 1 species
AUUGAACGCUGGCGGCAUGCCUUACACAUGCAAGUCGAACGGCAGCACGGGAGCUUGCUCCUGGUGGCGAGUGGCGAACGGGUGAGUAAUACAUCGGAACGUACCCAGUAGUGGGGGAUAACGCACCGAAAGGUGCGCUAAUACCGCAUACGACCUACGGGUGAAAGCGGGGGACCGUAAGGCCUCGCGCUAUUGGAGCGGCCGAUGUCUGAUUAGCUAGUUGGUGAGGUAAAGGCUCACCAAGGCUUCGAUCAGUAGCUGGUCUGAGAGGACGGUCAGCCACACUGGGACUGAGAGACGGCCCAGACUCCUACGGGAGGCAGCAGUGGGGAAUUUUGGACAAUGGGCGAAAGCCUGAUCCAGCAAUGCCGCGUGUGCGAAGAAGGCCUUCGGGUAGUAAAGCACUUUUGUCAGGGAAGAAAUCUUUUAGGCUAAUACCCUGGAAGGAUGACGGUACCUGAAGAAUAAGCACCGGCUGACUACGUGCCAGCAGCCGCAGUAA